GAUGAACGCUGGCGGCGUGCCUAAUACAUGCAAGUCGAGCGAACAGAUAAGGAGCUUGCUCCUUUGACGUUAGCGGCGGACGGGUGAGUAACACGUGGGUAACCUACCUAUAAGACUGGAAUAACUCCGGGAAACCGGGGCUAAUGCCGGAUAACAUUUAGAACCGCAUGGUUCUAAAGUUAAAGAUGGUUUUGCUAUCACUUAUAGAUGGACCCGCGCCGUAUUAGCUAGUUGGUAAGGUAACGGCUUACCAAGGCAACGAUACGUAGCCGACCUGAGAGGGUGAUCGGCCACACUGGAACUGAGACACGGUCCAGACUCCUACGGGAGGCAGCAGUAGGGAAUAUUCCGCAAUGGGCGAAAGCCUGACGGAGCAACGCCGCGUGAGUGAUGAAGGUCUUCGGAUCGUAAAACUCUGUUAUUAGGGAAGAACAAAUGUGUAAGUAACUGUGCACGUCUUGACGGUACCUAAUCAGAAAGCAACGGCUAACUACGUG
rnacentral:rRNA from 1 species